CUUAAAUGAAUUGACGGGGACCCGCACAAGCAGCGGAGCGUGUGGUUUAAUUCGUUGCUACACGAAGAACCUUACCUGGGUUUGACAUAUAGGUUGUAGGGAACUGAAAAGGGACCGACCCUUCGGGAGCCUAUACAGGUGUUGCAUGGCUGUCGUCAGCUCGUGUCGUGAGAUGUUCGGUUAAGUCCGCUAACGAGCGCAACCCUCGUCGUAUGUUAUAUGUGUCAUACGAGACUGCCGGUAAAAGCCGGAGGAAGGUGAGGAUGAUGUCAAGUCAGCAUGACCUUUAUAUCCAGGGCUACACACACGCUACAAUGGUCUGUACAAUGGGUAGCCAAGCCGCGAGGCGGAGCCAAUCCUGAAAGCAGGCCUCAGUUCAGAUUGCAGUCUGCAACUCGACUGCAUGAAGCCGGAGUUGCUAGUAACCGCAGGUCAGCAAUACUGCGGUGAAUACGUUCCCGGGUCUU
rnacentral:rRNA from 1 species